UACGGAGGGGCGAGCGUUAUUCGGAAUUAUUGGGCGUAAAGGGCGCGUAGGCGGCUGUACAAGUCAAAGGUGAAAUCCCUCGGCUCAACUGAGGAACUGCCUUUGAAACUGUACGGCUUGAGGCCGGGAGGGGGUAGCGGAAUUCCCAGUGUAGCGGUGAAAUGCGCAGAUAUCGGGAAGAACACCCGUGGCGAAGGCGGCUCUCUGGGACGGUACUGACGCUGAGACGCGAAAGCGUGGGGAGCGAACAGG
rnacentral:rRNA from 1 species